UACGUAGGGUGCGAGCGUUGUCCGGAAUUAUUGGGCGUAAAGGGCUCGUAGGCGGUUUGUCGCGUCGGGUGUGAAAUCACCUGGCUUAACUGGGUGCUUGCUUUCGAUACGGGCAGACUAGAGGUAUGCAGGGGAGAACGGAAUUCCUGGUGUAGCGGUGAAAUGCGCAGAUAUCAGGAGGAACACCGGUGGCGAAGGCGGUUCUCUGGGCAUGAUCUGACGCUGAGGAGCGAAAGUGUGGGGAGCGAACAGG
rnacentral:rRNA from 1 species